AUGUGAUGGGGGCAUGCGUCCAGGAGAUUGUUGAAGCGCUCCCAAUAUUCGUAGGGAGUCUCGGAUUCGCCUUGAAUAAUCAUAGAAAUUUCUUUCCUCAAUCU